UGGGGAAUAUUGCACAAUGGGCGAAAGCCUGAUGCAGCAACGCCGCGUGAGUGAUGAAGGCCUUCGGGUUGUAAAGCUCUGUCUUCUGGGACGAUAAUGACGGUACCAGAGGAGGAAGCCACGGCUAACUACGUGCCAGCAGCCGCGGUAAUACGUAGGUGGCAAGCGUUGUCCGGAUUUACUGGGCGUAAAGGAUGCGUAGGCGGAUACUUAAGUCAGAUGUGAAAAUCCCGGGCUUAACUUGGGAACUGCAUUUGAAACUGGGUAUCUAGAGUGCGGGAGAGGAAAGUGGAAUUCCUAGUGUAGCGGUGAAAUGCGUAGAGAUUAGGAAGAACACCAGUGGCGAAGGCGACUUUCUGAACCGUAACUGGCGCUGAGGCAUGAAAGCGUGGGGAGCAAACA
rnacentral:rRNA from 1 species